rnacentral:rRNA from 1 species
UACGUAGGGUCCGAGCGUUGUCCGGAAUUAUUGGGCGUAAAGGGCUCGUAGGCGGUCUGUUGCGUCGGGAGUGAAAACUUACAGCUUAACUGUGAGCGUGCUUCCGAUACGGGCAGACUUGAGGUAUUCAGGGGAGAACGGAAUUCCUGGUGUAGCGGUGAAAUGCGCAGAUAUCAGGAGGAACACCGGUGGCGAAGGCGGUCAUCCUGGACGACACUGACGCUGAGAGCGAAAGCGGGGAGCAAACGGGAUUAGA